CUGUUUUUUUCUAGAUCCCUCCACCACCAUUCCUACCAUCUCAGACCUUACCUUCUGCUUUACCCCUGUCCUCCACUUCUUUUCUUCCACUAAUUUGGACCGUCAUUUGGUCGUCUCUGGUGAAUCCGACCACAUAAUGUAUUGGCUUCACAUAAUUCUCUACAAAAAUCGAAUUGUCGUCAUCUCCAUAUGGAACUACCUCGACUGAAGCACCGUUUCAUACUCUCUUAUCUCCCAUGCCCUAGUUGUUGAGGAAAUCACCUCUUCCUUCCUUACUAAUUUCGACCCAUCAAAUUAUCUUGCUCUCUCCAUCAUCUUUGACAAAAGACAGUAACUAGGAAGGAUUAGAGAAACAUAUGUUUCUUUUUCUAUCCCCCAACUGCUCGGUAUAAUGUCAAGGUACAUCUGUUGCACGUGGACAGAAACAGAGAAGACGAAUAUGGGGAGCUACUGAUAAUGGGGGUGGUGAUAAGGUGGCAGACGAGCUUUAGAAUUUGGAGGAAAGAUCGUUGGAUUUUGGGGAAUCUAGUUAAGAUGUAGGGAAUUUUAAUGUUAUGGCAUUCAAUGUUCUUUUCAAGAUUGUUAUUAAUAGUUCACAUGCUCCAUCAUCUUUCAAUGGAUUUAAAAGCAACUGUGACUCAUCAUGAACCUGUUAGCUCCUAUUUUUUCUUCAAAAAUGAAAACUGGAAUCGUUGUAGUGAACUUGGACCAUUUCUUUAUCCAAUUGUGAUAAAUUAAUAACAAUGUUUACUACAUCAACCUCCCCUAAGAUGAAGGCUUGCUCCCUAACUGUUGGUCACAACUAUGAUCACCAUGAUCCAAAACCCAGGAACUGAGGAAACUAGUUCCUGGUCAAAAUGAAGUUCGCUUCUUUUAUGCCUUCAUUUGGUAACUGAAUGCUAAAAACAGACUUACAAUAAUGAAAUAAUUAAUACUUUGAAAUUAACAUACCUAUGGUUAAAUCCAUUAACUUCUAUUUGUUUAAAUGUAUCAUUUUCAUAUAUCUUAUGUAACGUCCUAAAAAUA